rnacentral:rRNA from 1 species
GAUGAACGCUGGCGGCGUGCCUAAUACAUGCAAGUCGAGCGAACAGACGAGGAGCUUGCUCCUCUGACGUUAGCGGCGGACGGGUGAGUAACACGUGGAUAACCUACCUAUAAGACUGGGAUAACUUCGGGAAACCGGAGCUAAUACCGGAUAAUAUCUUGAACCGCAUGGUUCAAUAGUGAAAGACGGUUUUGCUGUCACUUAUAGAUGGAUCCGCGCCGCAUUAGCUAGUUGGUAAGGUAACGGCUUACCAAGGCAACGAUGCGUAGCCGACCUGAGAGGGUGAUCGGCCACACUGGAACUGAGACACGGUCCAGACGCCUACGGGAGGCAGCAGUAGGGAAUCUUCCGCAAUGGGCGAAAGCCUGACGGAGCAACGCCGCGUGAGUGAUGAAGGUCUUCGGAUCGUAAAACUCUGUUAUUAGGGAAGAACAAAUGUGUAAGUAACUAUGCACGUCUUGACGGUACCUAAUCAGAAAGCCACGGCUAACUACGUG